GACGAACGCUGGCGGCGUGCCUAAUACAUGCAAGUAGAACGCUGAAGGAGGAGCUUGCUUCUCUGGAUGAGUUGCGAACGGGUGAGUAACGCGUAGGUAACCUGCCUGGUAGCGGGGGAUAACUAUUGGAAACGAUAGCUAAUACCGCAUAAGAGUAGAUGUUGCAUGACAUUUGCUUAAAAGGUGCAAUUGCAUCACUACCAGAUGGACCUGCGUUGGAUUAGCUAGUUGGUGGGGUAACGGAUCACCAAGGCGACGAGACAUAGCCGAACUGAGAGGGGGAUCGGCCACACUGGGACGGAGACACGGCACAGACGGCUACGGGAGGCAGCAGGAGGGAAUCGUGGGGAAGGGACGGAAGUCUGACCGAGAAAGGCCGAGUGAGGGAAGAAGGAUUUCGGAUCGGAAAGGUCUGUUGUAAGAGAAGAAAGAGUGUGAGAGUGGAAAGUUCACAGUGUGACGGUAUCUGACCAGAAAGGGACGGCUAACUACGUG
rnacentral:rRNA from 1 species